CCCUUAGAUGUUCUGGGCCGCACGCGUGCUACACUGAGUGGAUCAGCGGGUCAGGUUGCGCGAAAGUGUUUCCUAAUCUUGAAAUCCGCUCGUGAUGGGGAUUGACGGUUGCAAUUUUCCGUCAUGAACGAGGAAUACCUUGUAAGCGCGGGUCAUCAUCCCGCGCUGAAUACGUCCCUGCCCUUUGUACACACCGCUCGUCGCUCCUACCGAUUGAGUGGUCCGGUGAGGCUUUGGGAUCUGAGCAAAGAGAGCGUUUCGCUCGUUUUGCCCGGAAAACUCAGUCGAACCUUAUCAUUUAGAGGAAGGAGAAGUCGUAACA
rnacentral:rRNA from 1 species